CCUUCACAACUUCUACCUAAUAUACUCCCACCCAUUAAUAGAGGCUUAUCAGAAUGCCCCAAAUUGAAAACUUGUACCAGGAAUCUCUCUCUCUCUCUCUCUCUCUCUCUCUCUCUCUCGCCACUUCUUUAAUCAGUGGAGGCUAGUCGACAGCAAAAAUCUUCACACGUGAUCUCUACAUCCGUCAUUUUUAUCUCUGAAGGGCCGAAGGGGUUUUACAGCAGAUUCACUGCAUGUUAAGGAGUAAGGAAAUCAAGAGAGCUUACCUUGCGCAAGGUAUAAAAGGAUUCAAGAUAUUUGGACAAUGAAGCAGCAUCAUUCAAGUUAUCUAGUGGCUUAAGGAGAUCUCGGAGUAUGACAAUGUCGGAAAGUGCCACAGUCAUUCCACCGCCAGUUAAAGGAUGGCGCAUGUUGAAAGCAUCACCCAUUAAAAGGGCUCCAGGAGUAAGAUGCGGAUCCGCUGGCAUGCUUCUAUUUUGCAUAGUUCUGAUGUUUCCUUUGUCCACUGCAGAUAUGAAGUCAUCACGAAGCUCUGGUGGAACCUGUGACACAAGUAUUUUUAUUAAUUCCGAGGUGUAAGAGAUAUAGAUGUUCUUCUUGAAGUCAUAGUGGAAUAACCAUGAACAAUAAAGAAUAAAGGUCUGCCCAUUCAUCUGGGCUACGAA